CCUACGGGUGGCAGCAGUGGGGAAUAUUGCACAAUGGGGGAAACCCUGAUGCAGCGACGCCGCGUGAGUGAAGAAGUAUUUCGGUAUGUAAAGCUCUAUCAACAGGGAAGAAGAAAGACGGUACCUGACUAAGAAGCCCCGGCUAACUACGUACCAGCAGCCGCGGUAAUCCGUAGGGGGCACGCGUUAUCCGGAUUUACUGGGUGUAAAGGGGGCGUAGACGGGUGUGCAAGUCUGAAGUGAAAGCCCAGGGCUCAACCCUGGGACUGCUUUGGAAACUGUGGGGCUAGAGUGCUGGAGAGGUAAGUGGAAGUCCUGGUGUAGCGGUGAAAUGCGUAGAUAUUAGGAGGAACACCAGUGGCGAAGGCGGGUUACUGGACAGUAACUGACGCUGAGGCUCGAAAGCGUGGGGAGCAAACAGGAUUAGAUACCCGUGUAGUC
rnacentral:rRNA from 1 species